rnacentral:rRNA from 1 species
GUAGUCCACGCUGUAAACGAUGGGUACUAGGUCUGGUGGGUAUUGACCCCUGCCGGACCGUAGCUAACGCGCUAAGUACCCCGCCUGGGAAGUACGGUCGCAAGACUAAAACUCAAAGGAAUUGACGGGGGCCCGCACAAGCGGUGGAUCAUGUGGUUUAAUUCGAAGCAACGCGAAGAACCUUACCUGGGCUUGACAUCCUCUGACCGCGCCAGAGACGGCGUUUUCGUAGCAAUACGACAGAGAGACAGGUGCUGCAUGGCUGUCGUCAGCUCGUGUGGUGACAUGUCGGGUUAAGUCCCUCAACGAGCGCAACCCCUGUCUUUAGUUGCCAGCAUUAAGUUGGGCACUCUAGAGAGACUGCCGUGGUUAACACGGA